AGCAGGAAAACGGCGAACCAAAUGUUGGAGGGCGAGAAGUGCGUGGGCACGGACCUUCAUAUGAAGGUCCGUGUGCGUGGGCUUGGGACACCUCCUGCCUCAGCUCAACACCCUCAAGACCCGCAUCGAGCAACAGAAGUCCAAGCUAGAAAUCCGUGGUCCCCUAGCUACUGCUGAAUGGGUUGGAGACCAGAUUUGCUGAUGCCUAUGAGGACCAAGACACCCUGCUUGCAACUGUGUCGAACCCAAGGUGCAAGUUGAUGUGGACUGGGGACCAAACCCUGCAUGAGAAAUGCAGAUCCCUCUU